rnacentral:rRNA from 1 species
CGGUGGAAGAGGAAGCAGCGGUGGAGGAGGAGGAUGAGGUAGCCAACACUGUUUUAAAAUAUCUAUCUAUAUAUAUAUAUAUAUAUAUAUAUAUAUAUUUUACUUGGGGUAGCCCCCAAAAUAUUGGGACAUAUGAAAAAAUACAACUCUGUUCCGCAGAGUAGCUGUUGACAUUAUAGUUGUGCAGGAACUUUGUUGAUUCUAGAGAACCUCGGGCAAAUCGCACAUCCCCGUGGCGGCGACUUUGCAUGCGGAUGUCCUCCAUAUCAACUUUCAAAGCCAGUUUCUGCGCCUACCAUGGGGACCACGGGUGAUGGGGAUCAGGGUUCCAUUCCGUAGAGGGACCCUGAGAAACGGCUACCACAUGCAAGAAAGGCAGCAGGCGCGCAAAUGAAGGUAGUGACGACAAAUAACAAGACAGGACUCUUUAGAGGCCCUGUAAUUGUAAUGAGUCCACUUGAAAUCCUUUAACUCUGAUCAAUUGGAGUGAAGUCUAGU